rnacentral:rRNA from 1 species
UGGGGAAUAUUGGACAAUGGGCGAAAGCCUGAUCCAGCCAUGCCGCGUGUGUGAAGAAGGCCUUUUGGUUGUAAAGCACUUUAAGUGGGGAGGAAAAGCUUAUGGUUAAUACCCAUAAGCCCUGACGUUACCCACAGAAUAAGCACCGGCUAACUCUGUGCCAGCAGCCGCGGUAAUACAGAGGGUGCAAGCGUUAAUCGGAAUUACUGGGCGUAAAGCGCGCGUAGGUGGUUAUUUAAGUCAGAUGUGAAAGCCCCGGGCUUAACCUGGGAACUGCAUCUGAUACUGGAUAACUAGAGUAGGUGAGAGGGGAGUAGAAUUCCAGGUGUAGCGGUGAAAUGCGUAGAGAUCUGGAGGAAUACCGAUGGCGAAGGCAGCUCCCUGGCAUCAUACUGACACUGAGGUGCGAAAGCGUGGGUAGCAGACAGGAUUAGAUACCCUGGUAGUCCACGCCGUAAACGAUGUCUACCAGUCGUUGGGUCUUUUAAAGACUUAGUGACGCAGUUAACGCAAUAAGUAGACCGCCUGGGGAGUACGGCCGCAAGGUUA